UACGUAGGGGGGCUAGCGUUGUCCGGAUUUAUUGGGCGUAAAGAGCGUGUAGGCGGCCAGAUAGGUCUGCUGUGAAAACUCGAGGCUCAACCUCGAGAUGUCGGCGGAAACCAUUUGGCUAGAGUCCGGAAGAGGAAAGUGGAAUUCCUGGUGUAGCGGUGAAAUGCGCAGAUAUCAGGAAGAACACCCGUGGCGAAGGCGGCUUUCUGGGACGGUACUGACGCUGAGACGCGGAAAGCGUGGGGAGCGAACAGG
rnacentral:rRNA from 1 species